GGCCUCAUCGUCUAGUGGCUAGGACGUCGCCCUCUCACGGCGGAAACAGGGGUUCAAUUCCCCUUGAGGCUACCA
rnacentral:tRNA from 1 species